rnacentral:rRNA from 1 species
GUGGGGAAUCUUGCGCAAUGGGCGAAAGCCUGACGCAGCCAUGCCGCGUGGAUGAUGAAGGUCUUAGGAUUGUAAAAUUCUUUCACCGGGGACGAUAAUGACGGUACCCGGAGAAGAAGCCCCGGCUAACUUCGUGCCAGCAGCCGCGGUAAUACGAAGGGGGCUAGCGUUGCUCGGAAUUACUGGGCGUAAAGGGCGCGUAGGCGGAUCGUUAAGUCAGGGGUGAAAUCCCAGAGCUCAACUCUGGAACUGCCCUUGAUACUGGCGAUCUUGAGUGUGAGAGAGGUAUGUGGAACUCCGAGUGUAGAGGUGAAAUUCGUAGAUAUUCGGAAGAACACCAGUGGCGAAGGCGACAUACUGGCUCAUUACUGACGCUGAGGCGCGAAAGCGUGGGGAGCAAACAGGAUUAGAAACCCGUGUAGUCC